rnacentral:rRNA from 1 species
ACGUUAGCGGCGGACGGGUGAGUAACACGUGGGUAACCUACCUAUAAGACUGGGAUAACUUCGGGAAACCGGAGCUAAUACCGGAUAAUAUUUCGAACCGCAUGGUUCGAUAGUGAAAGGUGGUUUUGCUAUCACUUAUAGAUGGACCCGCGCCGUAUUAGCUAGUUGGUAAGGUAACGGCUUACCAAGGCGACGAUACGUAGCCGACCUGAGAGGGUGAUCGGCCACACUGGAACUGAGACACGGUCCAGACUCCUACGGGAGGCAGCAGCA